GAUGAACGCUGGCGGCGUGCCUAAUACAUGCAAGUCGAGCGAACAGACGAGGAGCUUGCUCCUCUGACGUUAGCGGCGGACGGGUGAGUAACACGUGGAUAACCUACCUAUAAGACUGGGAUAACUUCGGGAAACCGGAGCUAAUACCGGAUAAUAUAUUGAACCGCAUGGUUCAAUAGUGAAAGAGGGUUUUGCUGUCACUUAUAGAUGGAUCCGCGCCGCAUGAGCUAGUUGGUAAGGUAACGGCUUACCAAGGCGACGAUGCGUAGCCGACCUGAGAGGGUGAUCGGCCACACUGGAACGGAGACACGGUCCAGACUCCUACGGGAGGCAGCAGUAGGGAAUCUUCCGCAAUGGGCGAAAGCCUGACGGAGCAACGCCGCGUGAGUGAUGAAGGUCUUCGGAUCGUAAAACGCUUUUAUUAGGGAAGAACAAAUGUGUAAGUAACUAGGCACGUCUUGACGGUACCUAAUCAGAAAGCCACGGCUAACUACGUG
rnacentral:rRNA from 1 species